UACAGAGGGUGCGAGCGUUAAUCGGAAUUACUGGGCGUAAAGCGCGCGUAGGCGGCUUUGCAAGUCGGGUGUGAAAUCCCCAGGCUUAACCUGGGAACUGCAUUCGAGACUGCAUUGCUAGAGUAUGGGAGAGGGAAGUGGAAUUUCCGGUGUAGCGGUGAAAUGCGCAGAUAUCAGGAGGAACACCGAUGGCGAAGGCAGUUCUCUGGGCCGUAACUGACGCUGAGGAGCGAAAGCGUGGGGAGCGAACAGG
rnacentral:rRNA from 1 species